ACUUCGUCACCUGGUCUCUCUCAGAAUGGGAAAAAACCAAGCUACAAGGCCAUGCAGCGAGCUCGCCUCGGCCCCAGCUCAGCUGCGCCGGAAGAGAUCGAGGACGGCAUGGUGGAUGGGUCUUUUCAUUCACCAUGGUGGCGUGCGGCUCCUUUGGCCAGCCUUAAAACUCUCAUACAAUUACCUGGGAAGAAUUCUAAAAGAAGCAAAAGGAAGAUGAAGUAAGAAAGGGUGAACUAGAAGCGGAUACCAAUAGAAUGAUGUGAGAGUACAGAGCUCAGUUAGAUGCUGAAAGGACACACAAGCUGGCCUAUGGAAGGAACAACUCUAGC